UACAGAGGGGGGCAAGCGUUGUUCGGAAUUACUGGGCGUAAAGGGCGCGUAGGCGGCCUGUUAAGUCGAACGUGAAAUCCCCGGGCUCAACCCGGGAACUGCGUCCGAUACUGGCAGGCUUGAAUCCGGGAGAGGGAUGCGGAAUUCCAGGUGUAGCGGUGAAAUGCGUAGAUAUCUGGAGGAACACCGGUGGCGAAGGCGGCAUCCUGGACCGGUAUUGACGCUGAGGCGCGAAAGCCAGGGGGAGCAAAACGGGG
rnacentral:rRNA from 1 species